rnacentral:rRNA from 1 species
UACGGAGGGGGCAAGCGUUGUUCGGAAUUACUGGGCGUAAAGGGCGCGUAGGCGGCCUUCUAAGUCGGACGUGAAAUCCCUCGGCUUAACCGAGGAACUGCGUCCGAUACUGAAAGGCUUGAAUCCGGGAGAGGGAUGUGGAAUUCCAGGUGUAGCGGUGAAAUGCGUAGAUAUCUGGAGGAACACCGGUGGCGAAGGCGGCAUCCUGGACCGGUAUUGACGCUGAGGCGCGAAAGCUAGGGGAGCAAACGGG